UGAAGGAGAACUGCCGGCUGUUGGACUGUUGAAGUGGGAGAGGACAACAGAGUGAGACCCAGAACAUCACAGCUGAGUCUGGACAGAACGUCACUCUGACAUGUCGAGCUCCAAACAACAUCCAGACUAUGGAGUGGAGCAGAGCUGACCUGGGGAGAGAAUAUGUUUUUUUGUAUCGGGAUGGGAGGGAAACUACAGUGAACCAGCAUCGCUCUUUUAAAGGCCGGGUGGCUCUACAGGACAAACAGAUGAAGAAUGGAAACAUGUCAGUGAUUCUGAAGAAUGUGAUGAUUAGUGACCGUGGAACAUACGAGUGUCGUGUGAAGGCAAACAAAAAAAAACGCAGGAAGAGAGCUAAUCUGAAGACCGACCCCAUCUGUAGCAUCUACCUGAGUGUUGUUGAUCCUCCAGGUCCAACAGGAGAACCAAAGGUGAAUGGACCUGUUGGACUGAUAGUUGGUCUGGUAGUUUCCUGUGUCCUCAUUGUUUCUGCUUUUGUUGGGUUUGUGAUCUACAGGAAGCAUAAAGGAGAAAAGAGUCAGGGUUCACACUAACCUACAUACUGAUGAUCUGCAGCACAUCCAGUAUCUCAGACCUCUGAACAGCUAAACUUUGAGUCUCCUGCUGCUGUCCCAACUUCCAAAUGAUAUCAGUGAACAGGGGGACAGACACCAGGGACCUCACAAAGAAAUUAAUUAUGAAGUGUCACCAUGAAAUGUUAUUCUGUCUUAUCUCUGGGUAUGGAGAUGAUGGAAAGUCUUUGUGGAGAAGGCAGAGAAAAGAAAAUCUAAAAGAAAAGAGAGAAUUAUUGUCUAAUUUUGCUGCAUUCAGUUUACAUAGUAAAAUUAGACUUGCCGUUGUUCAUAAGUUCCAAUUUUAACAAAAACGUAGUGCUUCUGUUUAUUACUAAUCUUAUGGCUGCAGAUUAGUGUCUCACACUUUAACUCAGCACUUUAUCAGGCUUUAACACAGCCUGAUAAAGGAUAUGUGGAAAUUGCUUCAGUUUGUCAGUAGAUCAAGUGUGAAAUGCAAUUAAUUUGACUGAUUCAACGGUCAUUCUUGGAGGUUGUUCAGCAACUUAAAUGUGACCUAAAAGGAGACCAGAAUCAAAUGUAAAAACAUGUAUAUAUACAUGCACAUAUACAUGCA
ensembl:lncRNA